ensembl:snoRNA small nucleolar RNA SNORA32
UGGUAAUUACCAAGGCUUUCAGAAGGCACUUUCUCAUUUGCUGUGGACAGAGCGUUUUCCCACUAGGUUUUCUUUCUGCUACAUUGCUAGCAUUCAGACUACUGGGGACAUUU